UAGGGAAUCUUCCGCAAUGGACGCAAGUCUGACGGAGCAACGCCGCGUGAGUGAAGAAGGAUUUCGGUUCGUAAAACUCUGUUGUUAGAGAAGAACAGCGCAUAGAGUAACUGUUAUGCGUGUGACGGUAUCUAACCAGAAAGCCACGGCUAACUACGUGCCAGCAGCCGCGGUAAUACGUAGGUGGCAAGCGUUAUCCGGAAUUAUUGGGCGUAAAGCGCGCGUAGGCGGUUUUUUAAGUCUGAUGUGAAAGCCCACGGCUCAACCGUGGAGGGUCAUUGGAAACUGGAAAACUUGAGUGCAGAAGAGGAAAGUGGAAUUCCAUGUGUAGCGGUGAAAUGCGCAGAGAUAUGGAGGAACACCAGUGGCGAAGGCGACUUUCUGGUCUGUAACUGACGCUGAGGCUCGAAAGCGUGGGGAGCGAACAGG
rnacentral:rRNA from 1 species